rnacentral:lncRNA from 1 species
CCGUAAUAUCAUCAGCCAUUUUUGUUUUAGCAUUCUAUAACUACAUGUAGAUUUCCACUAUCUAUGCCAUAAAAUUCACAGAUGGAAAUGGAUUCUUUAACGGCAUCUAAAUUUUUUAUGGUGUUGGUUUUGUGUUUUCAGUCAUGUAUGUAUUGUUAUCAUUAAUAGUAAUUUAAACAAUAGUAUAAACGCAUUUGUGUUAUUGUAAGGGUAAUUUUGAUAGAGUAAACAAAAUGAAGCCAAAUUUAUGCUGUUAAGCGCACAAAAAAAUUAUGUAUAGUACUUGAAAUUUGGAAAAUAAGCACAUAUUUGUUUUCGUUUGAAGUGAAAAUAUACCACACAUAAGGUAGCUGUUUUGUUUAAAUGCAGCAAACAUUUCCUUAAGGAUUACUCUGUUUCAAAAUGACAAGCUUUUUUAAAGAAUGUUUUAAAUUGAUAGUGUAUUAAUAAAGAAACGUAAAAAGCAGAAAAAAAAUUAAGGGUUUUCGAUAUAUAUAAGCCAUUGAAAAUUUGGCGAAAUAUCGAUUUUCAAAAAAUGGCUGAUUUUACAAGAGUAGCGAAUAUCCUUCAGAUUUAAGUGUUUCACACUUAAACAAGAUACAAAUACAACAUGUACAGAUUAUCAUAGUUUUAAAAAGUUUUGUAUGUAUAACAUUUCUCAGCUAGCAACACCCCAAAAGAAAAAGAAUUUCUCUAAAUGUAGUUCAAAAUACAACUUAUGCUUUAAGUUUAUAUCUGAUGUAAUGUGUAUUAUAAUAAAAUUAACGGUACCAAUUUUCUUGCACCAGAUACGCAUUUCGACAAUACAUGUCUCUUCAGUCAUGAUUGUGGCCAAAAUAUUUGAAUUCCAAAGCUUAGCCAAAUCCGUGGAAGGAACCAGAGCUUUGCAUGAGGGAGAUACAUUCCUUAAUUUAUAAUAAUUUCUAUCAUUUUGUAACAGCAAAUUUUAAUAACUCAAAUAAUCCGUAUUUUCAUGCCAGUACCGAAGUACUGGCUACUGGGCUGGUGAUACCCUCGGUGACUAAUAGUCCACCAGCAGAAGCAUCGACCCAGUGGUAGUAAUAAAAUUAACGGUACCAAUUUUCAUGCACCAGAUGCGCAUUUCGACAAUACAUGUCUCUUCAGUGAUGCUCGUGGCCAAAAUAUUUGAAUUCCAAAGCUUAUAUAAAAGAGGAAGAGCUAUAAUGCAAAAGGUCCAAAAAGUAUAACCAAAUCCGUGGAAGGAAUCAGAGCUUUGCAUGAGGGAGAUACAUUCCUUAAUUUAUAAUAAUUUCUAUCAUUUUGUAACAUGGCUUUGUUAACGAAAUUAUGUUAUAAUAUUAGAACAGUAACCAAUUACAUGUCUUACAUUCAAAAACUAUUAGUACACAUGGUUACUUACCAUCAAUUGAUAUACAUACUAUACAUUGUAAAACUAUAUACAAUGGAAUUUUUACGUUGCUACAUGCGCCGCUGAUUUAACCUAUCACUAUGUCUUUGAUAGAGGUUAACUGCUUACAAGGAAGGCGUUGUAUUAAGAGUUCUGAAUGGUGGGAAAAUCCCUUGUAUACUUUAACAGACAAUUUCUCUAGUUUGUUGACCGUCAGGAAAAGAAAUAUAUCACAGAUGACGAUGGACAUGUUCCAAUUGUCGUAAAAACUAUCAUUUUCUCAAAUGCUACAUAUCAAAUCUAACUUAGCAUGUGUUUUCAUUAGCAUAAGCAUUAUGAUGGAUGCCACACGGGGAGCAGGAUCUGCUUAACAUUCAGGAGCAAAUAUGAAAUCAUCCUAGAUGUUUGGUGUGAAUCAUGUGGCUUAGUCUUUAGUUGUUAUAUAUCAAAUUCUGUAUUUUUAGUUGCUAUGGCAUGAACAGUUUGUUUCUGUUGAUGUGUUCUAAUUUCCAUUUUGCAUCUUGUGACUUUGUGAUUGUCUUUUAGAAAUUUGAAAACUCCAAAAACGUUUGGCAUGGACUUGGCUUUACAUUUUGUUUGUAAUUUUUCUAAUCAACAUGCAGCAACAUUUUUCUUUACUUUUUAUACUAGUGUAACAAAUUUAUAAUGCAACUUCCCUCCAUAAAUUACAAAUGUAAUUUAUUUUGAGUUUGCUUAUAUAUUUCAAAUAAUAUAUUAUAACAGAAGAUGACAUAAAAAAGGGACGAAAGAUACCAAAGGGACAGUCAAACUCAUAAAUCUAAAACAAACUGACAACGCUAUGGCUACAAAUGAGAAAGACAAACAAAAACAGCACACAUGACACAACAUAGAAAACUAAAGAGUAAACAACACGAACCCCCCAAAAAAUUAGGGGUGAUCUCAGGUGCUCUGGAAGGGUAAGCAGAUCCUGCACCACAUGUGGCACCCGUCGUGUUGCUUAUGUGAUAACAAAUCCGGUAAAUAGUAUAAUUCGGUAGGUCACAUUCAUGAAAGGGAAGGGGAUUGUAGUUACGACGUAAGGAACAUAUCCGAUAUCAUUUGUGAAACGGUUAUUCCAUAAAAGUCAAUCAACUCGUGAUGGCGUCCGUAAAAUUUACGAAGGGAUGAUUACAUCUUCACCAUUUGGAACUCUUGUUUUAAUAGCUUCCUUGUGAGCAGCAACCCUCUAUCAGGAAAGUCAUGAUAGGAAAUGCAAGCACGAGAAUAUCGUAUCAAUUGGGAGAUAUAUACCCCGUAUGCAGGUGCUGCUGGAAUGUUGCUACUUAGAAAUGGAAAGUUCACUAUUGGAAAGCUGAAAUCAUCUCUUUUGUCGUAAAGUUUUGUUUUCAACCGACCCUCAUUGUCAGUUUCUAGAUGUAAGUCAAGAUAUGAGGCCGACUUAACUGUAUCUGUGGUAUCCUUUAUCUCUAGCUCGAUUGGAUAGAUGCGUUCCACAUAGUCACCAAAUUUUGAAUUAUUUAGUGAAAGAACAUCAUCUAUAUAGCGGAAAGUAGAGUUAAAGGAUAUUGAUAAUUUCUUAUCUUUCUUCCUAAGAAGUUCCUGCAUGAAGUCAGUCUCAUAAUAAUAAAGAAACAAGUCGGUAAGUAGAGGGGCACAGUUUGUUCCCAUUGGAAUGCUGACAGUCUGUUGAAAAACACGUCCUCCGAACGUAACAAAUAUGUUGUCAAUCAAGAAAUCAAGCAUCUUGAUAAUAUCAGUUUCAGAGAAUUUUUUGUUUGAAUCAGAGUGGUCCCUUACAAAGUAGGAUUUAUCCCUAAAAUUGACGAUAGUAGUUUAGAAAUAUUUAUGAGUACACUAUUGAUUUUGUUACAUUUAUUAUCAGAAGAGUCAUAUAUCUGAUGUUCCCACGUCAUCCUAUUCCCCUCUGCUAUAUGUACAACAAUUACAACAAAUCCUGAAAUUGUAUUUGACAAAAGAGAAAAGCAAAAACGCAAACAAUCCCAAAUGUAAGACUCGGCAGGCUAUGAGAUAUCCGGCGUUAAUACAGAGAAAAAAAGUACUUUUAGUUAAAUUUAGACACUGACAAUCUUAAUAUAUUCAUGAUAAUAUUUAAUUGAUAACCUUUCUAUAUAAGUUUUUAUAUGACCAAUAAGUUUACGUGAAAGGUACAUCAAAGUAAAAAUAAGAACAUUAUAUUAUGUCAGUAAUUAGUGUUUCGCUAUAAACGUAUAACAUAAGUAUCUAUAUAAAUGAAGAAAUGUAGCAGUCCAUUUUCCAAAUGCUUGUGAAGGUUGUUUUUUCUCAUUAUGCAAACAUGCAACGAAAAUUGCAUUCUUUGUAACUUUAUCGCUGUUUCUAAUUGUUAAAAUAAAAUUCAAAAGGUUUGCUACUUAAUAUGUAGCUCAUGAUUUUACUUCGAAAUGUCUUACCAUAAUGAAUUUUCAUAAACAGCUAAACUCUUUGCAAUAUUGUAUUACACAAUAGCAUGAAUACAGACACUGGAAAUAAAAAAGCACCAUGUUUCGCACAACAACAUUUCAUGUUUAAAAAGGUCAGGAUUGCACAAACAUGUGUUUAAUAUUAAACCAAUUUUGAACUCUUCAGGUGUUGCAGGUAAUAACAAAUAUUCGUAUGAUACAAAUCAUGAGGGAAAGCAGCACAAUAAUUAUACAGAUUGGAGAACGUAAGCAUUUCUUCAUUUAGUUAGAAUCUAUUUUAUAAUAAAUGCUCUGAGUAACUUCAGGUUUUGAAAUUUGCGGUAUCCCAUGUUAAAAAACAGAAAGUACAUCAACUGCCGUGCAUGUGGUGGUGUAUAAUUUUUUGCAGGUGAAUACCGGACGGAAAUGUUUUAAAAGCAUUUGAAAUAAACAAGCAUGUGAUUCUCCCAUUUUGGUACGUAAGUGAAUCUCCAAUUCAUUCUUCUAAUCAACAAUAGCACCAAUCACUACAAACUGCUCGAUUUUACUGGUCGAGCACAAAAACUGGUCAAUUCAGACGCUGAGCAGUUGUAGUGAAUGUACCUUCAUCUAUUUCGCCGAAGUCAGAGUAUUGUUCUAAAAGUAGAUUUGUUUUGCAUGAAUCCAUUGUCCACCGAAAUUACUUAUAGUUUAACGUUUAACCUACAAACAUUUUUUAAAACGUACAACAAAUUCAGGGUUUGAUUUUACUAGUGUCUUCUUUCAAUUAUAAAAGUAUUCUUCAGACCAUACAUGCUGCGACUCAAAUAUGGUUAAAAUAUACAUGAACUUAUAACUAUAUAUUCUAAAAUCGCCUUAUCAUGCUUAUUAUAUACUAUUGUCAAUAUCAAUACCCACACAUUAUUUAGUUAUCGAUUUCAAAACGAUUAGAAUGGUUUGUUAUAAAUUGUGUAAAUACCGAAGUACUGACUACUAGACUAAGGUUGAUGCUACCCUUGGGGACUGACAUAUUAUAAUAGCAGGAUUGUUUUUAUCAUAUUGAUUUAAUUUUUAAGUACUUUCAAUUUUUGUUUGGGGCGGUAGAGGGCGUUGUUAACCCAUUCAAUAAACGUUCUUCGUUCGACAUUUCUAAAUAAAACAUAAAUACAAUACAAUAUAAGUAUGAAAAUAUUAAGUGGUAUACUUAUAAAGCCAAACUAACAUAUAAAACGACAACAACCGUUAAACAAUAUUAUGAAAUAAAGUUGUCUUAUACAUGUUAUAUACAAAGAAGAAAAUAGUAACAUCGAUGAUUCUAUUUAUGAAAACAAGGUAAAGACAUAUGCUAGAUAAGAUGUUGAACAAUGCAGUUAAUACAUAUAGUGUAAACAAUUUGAAAUGCAUUACACUAUCCAAUUUCAUUAGCUACAUAUGUAUCCAUUAAAGAUAACAUAUUUUUUUCUAUAAUAAAGAAACAUACACAUACAACUAAGUGCAACAGCAUUGAUUUAUAAUCUUGUAUUCAUAUAAUGUAAACAAAACACAUACAAAUGUAUAUACACACAUGCACAUUUUAGUGUUAUUUAUUGAAAAUGAAACUGGAACUUGAAUAUUUAAUGUCUCAUAAUAAAAUAAUAUCAAAUUUGAGAAGGGUAACAGAAUGCAUGAAAGAAGGUCAAAAUAUACUAAAAAGACAUUCAAACUCAUAGAUCGAAAAUAAACCGACUACGCCAUGCCUAAAAACGAAAUAAAUAACAAACAAAUGAUAGUACACAAGACUCAAUAUAGAAAAACUAUUGACUAGGCAACUCGAACCCACUAAACACUGUGGGUGAUCUCAGGUGCCCCGGAAGGAUAAGCAGACCAUGUUCCACAUGUAGAACCCGUCGUGUUCGUCAUGUUAAAACAAACACGUAAAUAGUAUAAUUCGGUAGGUCAUAUUCGUGAAAGAGGAAUGGGAUUGUAGUAAGUACUUAAGGAACAUAUACGAUAACAUAAUUUUCCUGUAAGAAUUUAUAAGCUGUGCAAAUAUACUACAUGAACAUGUAUAUAUUCUUUUUGUUUUGCAUAAGAGUAUGCACAUUCUCAAUUUUAAACGCACCUGUAUGUAUAGAAGUAUACUUAUGCAUACACUACAAAGUAAAUCCGAAACCUCAAUAAUGUACUUUUCAAAAGUAUAUAGGAACCAGUGACCUGUGACCAAGUUAGAGUUAUAGCUAUUUCAUAAUUUAAAGACAACAAUGGGUAUUAUAAGGUCUAAAAAAUUGCACGGCCUUUACACGUAUACUUUCAGUCAGAACUUUUGUUUUAUCUCGAUUUGCAAAAGUUAAUACCCUCGGUGACUAAUAGUCCAUCAGCAGAGGCAUCGACCCAGUGCUAGUAAUAAAAUUAACGGUACCAAUUUUCCUGCACCAGAUGCGCAUUUCGACAAUACAUUUCUCUUCAGUGAUACUCGUGGCCAAAUUAUUUGAAUUCCAAAGCUUAUAUAAAAGGUGAAGAGCUAUAAACCAAAAGUUAUUGUACUUGUGAACUAGUUGUUUGGUUCAUUCACUAUUUCAAAAAAGUCUGUUAGAAAAUAUAUACGUGUAUGUUUAUGUAAAUAUAUAUGGUUUCUCUCUAACUGUACACAAUUCCAUUUUAUCUGGGAAGUACUGUCAAAGAAAGCACAAGUCAGAGUGUACAGAAAUAUAUUAUAAAAUGUUGAGGUCAUUUUUACAUAUUUUUGUUAGUCAUGUUUAUAUUAUUGAACAUUUUAUACUAAUAUGUACGUUUUUAUAUGGCCAAUAAUAGCCAGAAGUCAUUGUUGAUUAUUAGCCCUUGGGGCCAAUAUCGGUAUCUGCCAUCGAAAUCCUUAUCGAGCCCCCGAAUUUGACUAUCGGUACAAACCUGUCAAUCAAAAACAAUUUGUAAACAAAAUGUCAUCUAAGCAGCUAGCCGACUAGGAGACGUUUCUCCGGGUAACAAAUGACGUUUCAAGUAAAUUGAUACAAGAAAUGAAAAAUGAGAAUACUAUGAAUAAAAACAAUGAAGUAUGUAAUACAAUAGAAAGUUAUGAAUCUGCUGUAGCAGAAAAAAAAAUAAAAAUCACCAGUGAAAUAAGUUAUGUGUCCUCCAUUACCGUACAUCACUAAAGAUCCCGUUUAAUUUUGACGUCAUAAUAGAAAAUAUAUGACGCCACAAUGGAAAAGUGCUUUGUUUUCUCACUGAGUUACGAAUUUUGUUAACUCACUUUGUUAACUCACUCUCAGAUGCCAUGUAACAAUCUAUAAUUAUCGCACGGUGUUCCUCGUUGAAUUGAUUGAUUGAUUGUUUGUUGCUUUACGCCGUUGGGCAAAUCUGAGGUAAAGACAUCUACCACUUAGAAGGGCAAUAACAUUUUGAAAUGUUUAGAUAUUGCCAUGUACAGUAAAUACAAUUUCACUUAUUUUCUAUAUAUGCGCUUGAAAAACGAUUUUUUCUUACCAAUUAUCUUAAAAAUGUGUAUUUUUAACGUGUUGUUUUUUUUUUUGUCAACAUGCUGUACCGGAAGUUCAGAACGGAUAGUGAAAGUAUAGAGAAACAUUAUAAUGAUUUUGUAUUCCGUAAAAACAUGAAAAAAUAAAUUGAAUUAGGUAUUUCACGUCCAGAUAAUAAUGGCUACAAUAUAUACAGAAUACGCCUUAAACUCGGGUUGAUCUCAGAUGCUCCGGAAGGGUAAAUAUCUCCUGCUCCACAUGUGACAUCCGUCGUGUCGCUCGUGUUAUAACAAACCCGGAAAAUAGUCUAAUACGGUAGGUAGCAUUCGUAAAGAGGGAACGGGAUUGUUGAAAGAACAAAUCUGAUAUCAUCUGUGGAAAGAAUAUUCCGUAACGGUAAACAAACUCGUGAUGGCGUUCAUUUAAAAAUAUACGAAUGAAUGAUUUCAACUUCACCAUUUGGAACCCGUCGUUUAUUACUUUCCUUUUUGGCAGCAAUCCUCUACCAAGGAAAUGAUAAUAUGAAAUAUCGGGAAAUAGAUACUCCGUAUGCAGGUGCUGAAGGAAUGUUGCCACAUAGAAAUGGAAAGUUCACAUAGAAUAAUUGCAUACAUAUUCUAUUAGCUUUAAGGCCAGAGUGUUAACCCAAAAUAGCAUAGUGACGUUGUGAAAUUUCAAAUUUUGAAUGUAGUUUAACGAUUACACUCCAAUGUCGCCCCAAUUUCAUACAAUUCCAAAACCGGGAUUAGUGUAAAGCUUGAUGAUGGAAAAGUUUUUUAUCCUAUACCUUGUGUUUUUUUUUUUUAUUUCAGAAAGCAUUAUCUUAUAAUGUAUGGGCUCACAAUAGGAACUACCGUGGGUGUAUUAAUGAUUAUAUUUGUAGUAAACGAAGUAUACAAAAUGUGCAAGAAAUAUGCACAAACAGAAAACAAACAUCAAACAGAUAUACAGAAAUGAUACCUAUGGACACACAAGACAUUUAUAAGACACGAUUGACAACACCAGUAAUUAUUGUUACGGUAACUGUUAUUUAACAGCUGAAUGAAAAUUAAAAUUGUGAACCUUAAAAGAACAAACAUCAAUCCCGAACCAUAUGUUAGAAAUAAAGUUAGAAUCCUUUGAAUAAUUCUAAUUAAUUUUGCUACAAAAGUAUACGUACAUUUAAGGGGCGGC